ensembl:scaRNA
GGUCGGUGAUGAUGAAAGGAAAGCCUGAUUGCACUGGUGAACUGCACACCCAUAACUUUCUUUGCUCCCAGCAGCUUCUUCCUCUCUCCCCCACAUCCAUGCUGCAGUAAUGCUGCGAUGUAUUUUGAGGCUGCUGACAUUAUGCGGAUAAAGUUGCUGCUUGUUACCUGUAGUAUAAGGUGCUUGGCAUUGACUUCUAUCCAAUAAACCCAGUCAAGGAGCUAUCAGUUCUGGGAUGUGUCUUUUAAUGUGCAUGAUCUUUAGUUUUCAAGCUGAGACC